CUGGGAAAUCCCCCGGACUGAGGCGGGGCGGGGUAAAGGGGGCCGAGUGGAGCGGGGUUAGUCAGUGGGGUUUGGGGAGGGCGGCUGGGAGCCGCUGACUGCACCCAUUCCGCGAUGGACGAGUCAGCUCGCCCUGCGGUGGAUGGAGUUCUGCGCUGCUCCCGCUGGAAGUGAGAAGCAGUCCUGCGGAGACUUCAUCCUCGGGGCCAGCCUGGGCUAGCGAAAGCCAGCUUCUCCUGGGGCACAGAAUCUUCUCAGAGAUGCCCGUCGUCUCCAUCUAAACAGGAAGACUGGGAACAAAGUAGCCCGGAGCUUGGGAAAGAAAGGCCAGAGAAAGAGUUAAGAAGCAGAAAAUCCAGGAUUGGAAGUCAAGCACUGGAAAAUCCACCCCAAGAAAAUUUUAAUGGUUUCCAGAUUACAAACCGCUUUCUUCACAGUACUGGCAAAUACCCCGUGGCUCUCCACAUCUGGUUAACUUUACUUUACCACUUUACUUUAUUGCCCAAUAAUCAUAUGUUAAGGUGUUGAAAUCCACAGUCUAUCUACUCCUGGACUUUGAGGUCACAAUGAUGUCAAACAUCCAAGAGGCUUUCAGGUUAACCAGCCUAAUACUGUCACCUGCUUUCUAAGUCCUUCUCUUUCUUCAAAACCAAAGUCUUGUCUUCUCUGAGAAGGUUUAUUCUGACAAAGCCAACUGAAAUGAAUUCCUUCCGCUUUUAGUCCUUGAACAAUCAAUGUACUUGUAAAAACUCUCUCCUAAGACAGAGUUGAUUAUUAAUUAC